rnacentral:misc_RNA from 1 species
GGAUGAAAUUUGACCAGUGAAACUAUUAUCGGAUACGUCAAAUUCAAAAAACUGGCCAAACUGAGGUGAAAGGUGAGAAUUGUUGAAAUCAUUGUAGGAGAGGUCGAGGCUUUGGAGAUGAAGAAGGAAGAAAAGAGGAUUGUUAGAAUAGAUGGUACCAAAAAGCAAGCUAUUAGAAAGGUGAAGGCCAAUUACAUUACCAGUUUCAAAGUCACAGGUGAUCCCAUCCCACGAGCAGCAAUCUGUGCCCUCUUUCCAAGAUUCUGUCUUGGGAUAAGGCUUGGGGUAAGAGGAAUCCCAUUCACAGGGAGAGGCAUCACUUCUAAUGGAAAAGGUUUUCUUGAAUUGGAGCAAGGCAAGACUCUGGUCAUGUUGGCACAACAUUGCUGAAAAUGAGGAAUUGAAAGAAAAAGAUAGAGAAGAAGAAGCAUGAAAAUACAAGGGAAAUAAAAAGAAGCUGAGAAAGCGAGCAAGCCAAGCCAUUUUCUUUGAAGGAAUU